UCUAAAACCUAAACCUAAACUUCCUCCCUCAGCCGCCACUCUCCCUUCCCAUUUUCUUACGUCUUUCUUCCAUAGUCGGCGUUAACUUAAGGCUGCGAGAAAGACAAAGAAGAACAAGAUGAAUACUCAAGAAAAAUGUGCCUUUGAGAAAUUUCAAUCCCUUCUAAUGCAAAAUUAUUCAGGCAUAGCAGAGUCCGCACCUG